CACCAUGUACAGAGCAGGAGCUCAUGUUGCUCCUUAGUGAACUCUGGGGAAAUUCCAGCAGCUUUGACAGAAGGCAGUGUACAUCUUACAGCCCCAGAUGAUAGUGUUUCCUAUCCUCUUCUUAAGUACAAGAUAGCCAGGUUGGGGAGGACAUGCAUGUAGGGAUUUGCAGACUGACUGGGAUACAGAAGCUGGAGAAUUUCCCAGUCUUCUUGGCAACAUCACUUUGGAAAAUGCAUUGAAUGAUAUCAAAUAUGGGAUGACAAUCAAACAAACCUACAGUCAAGGGCAAAGCAACACC